UCCGAGUUGGGGUGCCCUUGGUUGAAAAUGCUGACUUUACUGAUCCUGACGCUGUUUAUUAUUCGAGUAGUUGUGCGGGCGAUAAGGUGGCAUUCGUCAACCACCAUGCGGUGUUCCAUGUUGGAACACGAUAAGACGGUGGAACACUGCAUGGUGGUUGGUGAAUGCGACUUUGUUAAGUUUGUGUCGAUGCUCCGCCCUCUAAUCCAACGCCCGAUCCAAAAGAUGGAUCAAUUGGCCGGAUGGAGGCUUUUGGCCUAAAGCAAUCUCAUAGGGACGAAAGAGAGUGGUUCUGUUACAAUAGCAGCAUACAGAUGCACCCACUCUCUUCAGAGACAUUUGGAAUCCAUCGCCAAACUGCAUGCUCUCUGAAAAUUCCAGUGUCCUGUCAUAAAUUAUAAGAGGUUGUUUGUUUCACGGAGCUUAAUAACACAAGAUCAUUGUCUUGUCACUCUACGAGACAUAGCCAUAUUCUAUCUUUUUGAAUGUAAAUGGUAAUUUGAAAUAUCUUCUUGUUUUGUGAUGGGUUGAUUAGUCUUGUGAAAUUUAAUAUCCCAAUGUAAUAGUUUUUUGAAAGCUGAACCUAAAAAUAAUACAUUAUAAUCGAACUUCACUAUCUACCAAUAAGUAUUUGGACAGCCAUGCAAUGGGCCCACAUACUCCAGGAGUUUCAACAAGCAUCCGGGAUUGUUGUUUCGAUAAAUAUAGUCCGCAAGGAAGAAUAUUUGCUUGGUUUCCAUGGUCAUGCUGCCACCUAUAAGCCUUUGAUUACAAAAUCCAACCACGCUGCUCGAUUGAGAGGGUGCAAGGCACAUCGAAAUUCGAUCGUAAAAGUGUAGAAAAAGGUUCUCUGGAAUGAUGAAUCAAGAUUCAACCUUUGCCAGUCGGAUGAUAGAAUCUGGGUUUGGCGAAUGCAUUGUGCCUACAGUAAAGUUUGGCGGAGAAGGAAUUAUGAUCUGUGGAUGUUUCUUGUAGUAUGGACUGGGAGCCUUGAUUCCUAAUAAGGUAAACGCCGUCUCCUACUCCACUAUUCUAGACAACAAUAUGCUUUCUAAUCUGUGGGAAUUUCAAGGGUUGGAUCAUUAUUAUUUCCAGGAUGGCAACGCCACUUGUCAUGUAGCGAGGUCCACCUUGGAUUGGUAAGAACCCACUGGACUGAACAGCCCAGAGUUCAGACUUGAAUCCUAUAGAAAACCUCGCCAAGUUAAGGAGUGCAGCAACCGUCCAAAAUCUGUAAAGAAUACCACUGUCCAUCAUCCAAACACUUAUGGAAAGCAUGUCCUGGAAGGUUUAGGCUGUAAUUGCAGCAGGUAGAGGCUCUACCAACUAUUGAAUAUGAAUACAUUGUGUUUAUCUCUUUUAUCACAGGUGUCCAAUUACUUAUUGGUAGAUAGUGUAUAAGCUUACAGAAGCGAUCUUUAAUAUUAGAAAAAAGUUUAUGUUUCAUAUUGUAUUUUUAAUACAAAAUUAGCUCAUAAAUUUUGAAAUUAUUUGCCACGACUUUUGCACUCCUAGAAAAUUCAGUAAAACAGAAUCGAGGUUUAAAUUAAUAUUAGCCACCUAUGGCGACCACUUCGCUCUCUCAGGUUAUUGAUUUUUGUGGCCGUUGAAUUAUAUAUGGAAUGCAUUAAAGAAAUCCUGAUAAAGAAUCUCUUAGUAAAUGCUCUAAGGGAAAAAUUUCUCUUGUGACUUGAUGUAAACAGACGUGUUCCGUCUGAGAUCCCCAUGUAUGAACCAUGUCCUCCCAUGGAAAAAUAAAUUGAAG